CUUUUACAAUUGCAGUUACAGAAGGACAACUAAUUACAACUUAGUAUUAUUUUUUCUACUUUUCCUUUGGUUCAAUACAUCAAAGCAUUUUACUGUAGAUAUACUUCUCCUGAUUUGGGGUUGGUGUGCAUCUAUUUGCUACCAUAGAAACAACCGAAUGCAACCACUGGACAUAUAUCGAUUGCCAAAUAGCCCCAAUUUCACCCGCUAUGGCGCAAACACGCACGAAACCGAAGGCUACGAAUUGAUCGUUUUGUCAAGUGCUAUGUAUCAAUUCCCCCCUUUUUCUGUUCCACUGGAACGCCCGCCGGUUCUAAAUGCAAAGCGAUUGCACGCACGACGAAUCUCCGGUGUUAUCCAUCUAUUUUUAAACCAAUUAACAUAAGAUAAUACAACUACUCACAACAUCAA